AAUAUUGUUCAAUGGAGGCAACUCUGAACCAGCCACGUCGCGUGAAGGAUGACGGCCCUACGGGUUGUAAACUUCUUUUAUACAGGAAUAAAGUUAGUCACGUGUGACUCUUUGCAUUUACUUUAUGAAUAAGGAUCGGCUAACUCCGUUCCACCAGCCGCGGUAAUACGGAGGAUCCAAGCGUUAUCCGGGUUUAUUGGGUUUAAAGGGUGCGCAGGCGGAAGAUUAAGUCGGCGGUGAAAUUUUGCAGCUCAACUGUAAGAGUGCCAUCGAUAAUGGUUUUCUUGAGUGUGGAUGAAGUAGGCGGAAUUUGUGGUGUAGCGGUGAAAUGCAUAGAUAUCACGAGGAACUACGAUUGCGCAGGCAGAUUACUAGGCCAUAAAUGACGCUCAGGCACGAAGGCGUGGGGAUCAAACAGG
rnacentral:rRNA from 1 species